ensembl:lncRNA
GUCUGUCUGUAACCAUCUAUCUCCUAGUGGAACUGACCUGUCCUAGACUACACAACCUGUCUGUCUGUAACUGACCUGUCCUAGACUACACAACCUGUCUGUCUGUAACCACCUAUCUCCUAGUGGAACUGACCUGUCUGUCUGUAACCAUCUAUCUCCUAGUGGAACUGACCUGUCUGUCUGUAACCAUCUAUCUCCUAGUGGAACUGACCUGUCUGUCUGUCACCAUCUAUCUCCUAGUGGAACUGACCUGUCUGUCUGUAACCAUCUAUCUCCUAGUGGAACUGACCUGUCUGUCUGUCACCAUCUAUCUCCUAGUGGAACUGACCUGUCCUAGACUACACAGCCUGUCUGUCUAUAACCAUCUAUCUCCUAGUGGAACUGACCUGUCCUAGACUACACAACCUGUCUGUCUGUAACUGACCUGUCCUAGACUACAAAACCUGUCUGUCUGCAACCACCUAUCUCCUAGUGGAACUGACCUGUCCUAGACUACACAACCUGUCUGUCUGUAACUGACCUGUCCUAGACUACACAACCUGUCUGUCUGUAACCACCUAUCUCCUAGUGGAACUGACCUGUCCUAGACUACACAACCUGUCUGUCUGUAACCACCUAUCUCCUAGUGGAACUGACCUGUCUGUCUGUAACCAUCUAUCUCCUAGUGGAACUGACCUGUCUGUCACCAUCUAUCUCCUAGUGGAACUGACCUGUCUGUCUGUAACCAUCUAUCUCCUAGUGGAACUGACCUGUCCUAGACUACACCACCUGUCUGUCUAUAACCAUCUAUCUCCUAGUGUAACUGACCUGUCCUAGACUACACAACCUGUCUGUCUGUAACUGACCUGUCCUAGACUACACAACCUGUCUGUCUGUAACCACCUAUCUCCUAGUGGAACUGACCUGUCCUAGACUACACAACCUGUCUGUCUGUAACUGACCUGUCCUAGACUACACAACCUGUCUGUCUGUAACCACCUAUCUCCUAGUGGAACUGACCUGUCCUAGACUACACAGCCUGUCUGUCUGUAACCAUCUAUCUCCUAGUGUAACUGACCUGUCCUAGACUACACAACCUGUCUGUCUGUCUGUAACCAUCUAUCUCCUAGUGUAACUGACCUGUCCUAGACUACACAACCUGUCUGUCUGUAACUGACCUGUCCUAGACUACACAACCUGUCUGUCUGUAACCACCUAUCUCCUAGUGGAACUGACCUGUCCUAGACUACACAGCCUGUCUGUCUGUAACCAUCUAUCUCCUAGUGUAACUGACCUGUCCUAGACUACACAACCUGUCUGUCUGUCUGUAACCAUCUAUCUCCUAGUGGAACUGACCUGUCCUAGACUACACAACCUGUCUGUCUGUAACUGACCUGUCCUGGACUACACAACUUACAACUUGUCUGUCUGUAACUACCUAGUACCCUCCCCUGGACUGGGGCCCUUUCUACCUAGUACCCUCCCCUGGACUGGUAUUACAGCCGAGACAGACAGGGGGCCCUUUCUACCUAGUACCCUCCCUGGACUGGUAUUACAGCCGAGACAGACAGGGGACCCUUUCUACCUAGUACCCUCCCCUGGACUGGUAUUACAGCUGAGACAGACAGGGG